GGGCCAGCCCUGCUCCACACACUGGGGCCAGCCCUGCUCCACACACUGGGGCCAGCCCCGCUCCACACACUGGGGCCAUCCCCGCUCUGGACACCACACGGGACACCCAUCUCCAGGAGCAAGAGUCCAUUCCCGAGAGGCUGCAGGGGAGAUGUUCCAACAGAACGAUCUCCUUCGCUCAUCUCCAGCUUUCUCCACUCCCCCCCUUCCUUCCUCUCUAAAUCCAGGCUGACACCAAGGGCCAGGAGGGCUCUGAGCACAAAACCUGUCAGCAGACCUGGGAAAUGAUCCUUAACCUCGUUGCCAGGAGCCCGUAUUGAUCUGGAAACAGGAGCUGCAGCUCAGGAGAAAGCAGUGAAGGAGGCUCUGACUCUGGAGGAGGCAGGAGGGAAUUUGCUCUCAACUACAGGAAGAUACUCGGAUGUGGAACAAGACAAGUCACUGAACACAAAAGCUCCUCUCCAGGUGACUCAGCCAUUACAUCCCACUCCAGGACAGAUUCCAGGCACCAAGAUACCCCACUCCAACACUCCUCUGGCCCCAGCAGCCAACAAACCUUGGUACUGGCUCAAAUGGGGAUGAUUUGAUUCCAUUUCUUCUCUUUGCCAAAUAACGAAACACAGAGAGUUGCAAAAGAAA